CAUCUUAAUUUAAGAUUAUUUUUGAUAUUUUUACUGAAACAAAACAAAAAUACAAAGUAAGUCAUUUUUUUGCAGUGUGACCCCAUUGAAUGUUCUUGUGUGAUAAAGAAAGUCUCUCUUUUGUGUGUGUGUGUGUGUGAUGUAGAUUUAACAUGACUGGGCCAAAACAAAUAUAAGAACAUCCUGCAGAAUGCAGUGAAAAAGAAUACCCAGAGACAAGGCACGGGUGGUGGGUCACCAAAAGCUGACCUCACCCCAGCAGAGGCCAGCUUUGGAGCUAAAUAAAGGCAGGCCUGUUGGAGGGGAUCCCUGGGGGAAAAGAGACAAGCAUAGGUCCCUCCCAAGAUGCCACCCGCUUCAUACAAGUGUCUGGCAGCACUGUGUUACUGUUAAAGCCACCAGCACGAGCACCAGACGAUGCUGAUCCAGUGAGUACUCCAUCAAAGGCAUACUGUAGGCCUGGCAUGUCUUGUCUACUAGCUUCAAUAUGAAUCUGAUUAAAUGUGAUAGGGUCAAGGCCCCAUUUCAUCAGCACAUAACAGCGAUGAUGACGAGGAGACCAUCUCUCUGGAUUCCAGAAGGCAUGAUGUAUCAUGUCAAACUUGUGAAAGUACUAUUCAGUCUACAAUGGUGAGGAGUCAUAAUUUGGAGCCAUCACAAAAUCUUAUUUAUUUUACAGGACCCAGUGUCAUUGAUGGACUGGACUGCACACACAUAAGGAUAAAAGCCCCCUCAGGUGCCCAUGAGGCAGAUUUUGUAAAUAUGAAAUAUUUUCACAGCAUAAAUGUUCUGGGGGCAUAUUACAGAAAAGUCCUAACUUUAAAAUCUUAUCUUAACUGUUUGGUAACCAUGGUCAUUUCAGUUAGGACCUCAUUUAAGACAAAAGCUAUUACAGAAUGAUGUUCCUAAAUGCAUUAUUUUAUCUUAACUGCAGAUAGGAAAGUGGUAUUACAGAAGCAUCCUAACUUGACAAAACAUCCUAAAAACGGUCUUAACUUUAGGGUAUAGUGAUGGGCAGUCUGGCUCUUUCCAUAGAUUCGGCUCAAGCUCCGGCUCUACCUUUUAGUGAUGGCAGUCCGGCUCUUUCAUAGAUUCGGCUCUCCUGGCUCGGCUCCCUUAGAAGAGCCGGCUCUUACGGUGCCACCCCUGCAUGUGUCUGAAGAUUCGGCUCUGCUCGUUCGCUACAAAGAAUCAGCUCUUAGAGCGGCUCGUUCGCGAACGACCCAUCACUAUUAGGGUAACCUCACAGGUGUCCUAACUUAAAACUUUAAUGAUAGCCAGCUGAAACAAUCACAUUAUGAUAGAGCUGCGGGAGAAUGACAUUACAUUUUUAACAAAGUGGAGGAUGAAAAACAUCAAUGUUUGUUUUUGGAUUACUCUUUGAAUGUUUUUUACUUUCACACAUUCACAUAAUCACAAUGUUUCUCACUGGAGCAAUCUUUCAAUUUCUGUCAUCCCUCAUUAUUAAAAAACAGGUUAGUUUAUUCAUGAACACUUGAUGGGAUUAUAGUGAAUACAGUACACACUUGACUCAGCAUCUAUUUCUUGUCAUGUCUCUAUCAAAUGUUGAAAUGUACAAUAGUAUCCUAGCACUUAGUAAGAAUAUUUUAUUUUUAUUUUUGUUAGUCACAUUUGCUAAAUGUUUAAAUUGAAUGGUAACUGAUAUAUGAUGUGCUAAAACAUUAAUACAAAAAACACAGACUAUGAUUACAAUGAAUUUAUUAAAAUUUAUUUUUCUGGCCCAUUGAAAUUUAAAGGACAAUUCUUUUGUUUACUGCAGCAGCAGCUCACGCAUUGCUGGUUGCUUGGUAACAGACAUGACAGUUGAUAGCUGAACAUGAUUAAGCGAUUUGGGAUUUCCUAACUAGAGAUGAGAUAAGAUUUGGUGAGAUAAGAUGAGAAUCCUAAAUCAAUUUUUUAAGAUUUGCUUCUGUAAUAUGAAUUUGUAAAAAUCUUAACUUAACACAUCAUAUCUUAAGUUAAGACCUAAGAUAGAAAGUUUCUGUAAUACGCCCCCUGGUGAACAUAACUUUUUGAUCUUUUCCAUUGAACACUGGCAAAAUGGUCUGGCUCAGUCCAUUACUCCAGAAUCUUUGGGACCUCUGAAAUCUAUCAGCUCCUAUCACAAGGUGAAUUCUCUGGUGUGUUGCUUGGAGACGGGGGUAUGGCUGCCAGCCUUUUUUCCUGACACCUUUCACAGACCCUCAGGAAGCACAGCAGGCCUACAACUAUGCCCAUGCCAGGACCUGGGCCAGAGUUGAAAUGACCUUUGACCUCCUGAAGGCACUCUCUCACUGCCUUCAAAAAUUAAGGGUCAGCCCUGUGAGGCCAUGUGACAUUACUGUGGCUUGUGGUGUCCUUCACAAUGUGGCCUGCCUGAGGAAGGAGAGGGCCCCCAGAGUGCCGCCAGCCAUGGACUGGGACAAUCCGGAAAUCUUCCCUGAUGACAACAGUGGUCGGCUGCUGAGGGACCAAUAUGUGUUGAAUUACUUUAGUUAGCUUUCAUUUUGUUUUUUUAUUGAUUUGGCCUCUUUUGAUGUUUGUGCUGUAUACUGUGUGUAAUACAAGCUUGCAAGGAGGCUACUGCAUCCAUUAAUUGUCUUGUUUUCAGUUGUCUGAAAUUGUCUGUUCAGUUAGUGUGUGUAUGGAUUUGUCCUGCAUUUAUUUCAGUGUGCAGACAUGCAGGGUGUGUUAUAUACAGACCUUUGAAUGUGUAUUUAUCCUUUGGUUGUAUAAUAUGAUUUUAUUCUGUGCUUUCCAUCUUGUAGAGUCACUGUGUGACUUCAGUCUAUUGGAAAGUGUAAAUUAUCUAAUGAUAGCAACAUCAUCUAAAAAGCAUA